GAAGUUUCGUUUCAUUAGACACAUCAUGUACCAGUCGUCGGCCGACGUUCUGGGCGGCUUCUGUUACGAUUCCGCGACACUUCGCAACGAUUCGUCGACAAACAGAGAACGUGGCGAUACCAAGUAUCGGAGAGCUACGUUUACCGUGAUGCGCGACUUUAUCGAGCUAGAUUCGGAGAAUGUAGAAUGUACAUCGUCGUAGGGUACGUUUUCUAUCGCGAAUCGUUACCACGUUCGCGCCGCGUCGAUCGAUUAUUCUCUCUCGAAGCAACGCGACACGCAUCGGAGAUUAAUUCGUAUUAGUGAAGCUCUAAUACGGAAAAUAUUAAUUACAAACGCAAACAAGCUGACGUUGCAGAGGCUCGUAUUGUGCAGCCUUACACAUUCGGCACACGCACACGUUAGUGACAGAUUGCACGUCACAGCACAGACAGUUAGUAAUGCUCGGUAGCGAGACAAAGCGUUGGUCACACGUCACACGUCACACGUUUCCAGUGAGGCGCGUCCGUCGACGAGGAUUGCUGUUCAAGUGUUCACGCUUUACCUGCCCGCCCAUUUUAGGCGCUAUUGGAAAUCGGGUGCACCAGUUUGAAGAAAUCUUGCUCACCGCAAAUCAAGCGGACACCCAAGCCAUCGGCUGUUGUGACGAAAUGAAUUGACCUU